rnacentral:lncRNA from 1 species
CAAUGCUAUUGCUAGAUAGAAGUCAUUUUGGCAAUAGCUUGCGAUGUGGACGAUGAAAUAAUCUUGUAUCAUUUUUUUUAAUGCACCACUUUUAAAUAGUUGGUAUUGUAUUGUUACCUUUUUUUUUUGGUUACAAAGUUGGUAUUGUAUUGUUACUUUGAUUUGAUUCUUCUUCUUCGUUGUGAUCAUGUGUCAUCAUACAGUGUAAUUGGAUUUUUUUUGGCCUAUUGACUUUAUAAUUUGAUUGGUAAAAAAUUGUAAUGUCCCAAAAUGCUACAGGUCAAUUAUUAAUAUUAUGGGAG